CUAUUCUCUCUCUUCUCACACUAUUGAGAAUCGAAUGCGGUCCUCUGCGUGGUUUUUUAGUCCCACAUCGUCUAAAUUCCAAACAGUGCGUCGAUGCUGGGGAUCCGAUUCUUCUCGUCUUCUUCUCCUCCUCCGAUGGCUAUUUGAUCCCCCGAUGAUGCGGAACCCUAGGAGACCCAUCUCCGUCCUUUGCUCUUCCGUCUUCUCGUUCCCCUCGUCUAGGGUUUCCUCGAUCUUCCCGUCUUCUCGCGCUCAGCCUCGGAAUUUGUCAAGAGGGUACAGUUGUUUGGUUUGGAGGAAUUCGAUGGAGGGAGCUGUGGUUGAUGAGAGAAGUGGAGAUGGGUUUGUUUGGUCGUCGCCGGAGUGGGGGCGGAGCAUCGGUAUGGGGAAGAAGGUGUUCUGUAAUCGAUCGUUGAAUAUGAAGAAUAUUGUGGCUGUUGGGUUUGAUAUGGAUUAUACGUUGGCUCAGUACAUGCCUGAGACUUUUGAGUCGUUGGCGUAUGAUGGGACGAUUCGGAAGUUGGUUCAUAAUCUUGGGUAUCCACCUGAGUUGUUAGAAUGGACAUUUGAUUGGAAGUACAUGGUCAGAGGUCUUGUUCUUGAUAAGAAGAGAGGAAAUAUUUUGAAGAUGGACAGACACAAGUAUGUUAAAGUAGCAUAUCAUGGAUUCAAGGAGAUGCCUAAGGAAGAUAAACUGGCCACUUAUGGAAACACCUUGAUACGUGAUUCGUUUGAUGAGCCUGAUUAUGCUCUGAUUGAUACUCUUUUCUCUCUAGCUGAAGCAUACUUAUUUGCACAGCUUGUUGACUUCAAAGACAAAAAUCCUGGAAAAAUUCCUCCUGGUACUGAUUAUGGCCGCAUGUAUAGAGAUGUGCGAUCUGCAGUUGACUUGUGCCAUCGUGAUGGAACCCUGAAGCAAAUGGUUGCAAAGGAUCCUGGAAGGUAUAUCAAUGAAGAUUUGUCAAUUCUGCCUAUGCUCAAAAUGUUGCGUGAGUCUGGCCGUGCUACUUUUCUGGUUACAAAUAGUUUGUGGGACUAUACAAAUAUCGUCAUGAACUUUCUUUGUCAGAAUCCUAACUCAGUUGGUUCUGGAGUAGGCAUUUAUGAUUGGCUUGAGAACUUUGAUGUGGUCAUCACUGGCAGCUCAAAACCAAAUUUUUUCCAUGAAGAUAAUCGUGCGAACCUAUUCAAAGUUGAACCUGAAACUGGCAUGCUUAUUAAUACUGACAAUGGAACUCUUCUUCCUCAGAUAGGAAGUACUUCUCCAAGAGUACCAUCAAAUGGACUGAGAAAAUCUUGUAGAGUUUUCCAGGGUGGGAAUGUUGCACAUCUACACAGGCUUCUCUCAAUUGAAUCCAGUUCUCAGGUCCUUUAUGUCGGCGACCAUAUAUAUGGUGAUAUAUUGCGCAGCAAGAAAGUUCUAGGUUGGAGAACUAUGCUAGUGGUCCCAGAGCUUGAGAAGGAAGUAGAGCUUCUUUGGGAGUCAAGAGAUACCCGGAAGGAACUUCAACGCUUGCGAAGAGUGAGGGAUCUUGUUGAAGACAAAAUUCAUCGUAUAAAUUGGUCUCUCAAGUUUGAAGUUAUUGGUGUUGAUGAAAAGCAUAGGUUAUAUUCCGAACUUCAUGAAUUCGAGACACAAAGGGAGGAUGUUCGUUGCCGUCAUCAGCUGGCUCAGCGGGAAUUGCACCAGAAGUUUCACAAGGUAUGGGGACAACUCAUGAAGACAGGCUAUCAAAACUCUCGCUUUGCCCAUCAGGUUGAGCGGUUUGCUUGCUUAUACACAAGUCAAGUAACAAACUUGAGCUUGUAUUCUCCCGACAAAUAUUACAGGCCAAGUGAAGAUUUCAUGCCCCAUGAGUUCGACAUUCUUUCUUCAUAGGAAAACUUUCAGCCAUCCUAAUGCAGCAGCUGUUCACCAAUGAUGGGAUUUAGGGUUUCAUGGUGGGGGACAAGAAAGGAGGGGAUGCCAUCAUGUUUUUUAAUAACUGUUCAUAUUUUGGCAGUGCAGAAGGCAUGGUUUUCUGGUUUGUGUAUUGUCUUGGUGCAAAAAUUCUGCGUUCCCAACAUAUUACUUAUUGGUUUAUCCUAUCCCUGAUACUGCCCUUAAUGAGAUCUCUAAAAUUGUUAGGGGUUUCUUUUGGCACAAAGGUGGCAAUGGAAAGAGCAUCCAUGUUGUUGCUUGAAAUUGUAUUACUGUGGCUAAGACUAAGGGGAUCUUGUUCUUGCUAAGCAUUCUCUUAUGGCUAAAAAUGUUUACAAGUACUUUAACACCGA